rnacentral:rRNA from 1 species
GACGAACGCUGGCGGCGUGCUUAACACAUGCAAGUCGAACGGAAAGGCCCUGCUUUUGUGGGGUGCUCGAGUGGCGAACGGGUGAGUAACACGUGAGUAACCUGCCCUUGACUUUGGGAUAACUUCAGGAAACUGGGGCUCAUACCGGAUAGGAUCUCCUGCUGCAUGGUGGGGGUUGGAAAGUUUCGGCGGUUGGGGAUGGACUCGCGGCUUAUCAGCUUGUUGGUGGGGUAGCGGCUUACCAAGGCUUUGACGGGUAGCCGGCCUGAGAGGGUGACCGGCCACAUUGGGACUGAGAUACGGCCCAGACUCCUACGGGAGGCAGCAGUGGGGAGUAUUGCACAAUGGGGGGAAGCCUGAUGCAGCAACGCCGCGUGCGGGAUGACGGCCUUCGGGUUGUAAACCGCUUUCGCCUGUGACGAGGCGUGAGUGACGGUAAUGGGUAAAGAAGCACCGGCUAACUACGUG